UUCUAAUUCUGAUGUGAAAUGCCCCCGGCUCAACUGGGGAGGGUCAUUGGAAACUGGGGAACUUGAGUGCAGAAGAGGAGAGAGGAAUUCCACGUGUAGCGGUGAAAUGCGUAGAGAUGUGGAGGAACACCAGUGGCGAAGGCGACUCUCUGGUCUGUAACUGACGCUGAGGAGCGAAAGCGUGGGGAGCGAACAGGAUUAGAUACCCUGGUAGUCCACGCCGUAAACGAUGAGUGCUAAGUGUUAGGGGGUUUCCGCCCCUUAGUGCUGCAGCUAACGCAUUAAGCACUCCGCCUGGGGAGUACGGUCGCAAGACUGAAACUCAAAGGAAUUGACGGGGGCCCGCACAAGCGGUGGAGCAUGUGGUUUAAUUCGAAGCAACGCGAAGAACCUUACCAGGUCUUGACAUCCUCUGACAAUCCUAGAGAUAGGACGUCCCCUUCGGGGGCAAAGUGACAGGUGGUGCAUGUUUGUCGUCAGCUCUUGUCGUGAGAUGUUGGGUUAAUUCCCGCAACAAGCGCACCCUUGAUCUCUUUGCCACCAUUCAUUUGGUGCACUCUAGGUGACUGCGGCUGACAAACCGCAGGAGGAGGGGGAUGACGACAUUCAUCAUGCCCCUUAUGACCUGGGCUACACACAUGCUUG
rnacentral:rRNA from 1 species